rnacentral:rRNA from 1 species
AACGAACGCUGGCGGCAUGCCUAACACAUGCAAGUCGAACGAGACCUUCGGGUCUAGUGGCGCACGGGUGCGUAACGCGUGGGAGCCUGCCCUUAGGUUCGGAAUAACUCCCCGACAGGGGUGCUAAUACCGGAUAAUGUCUUCGGACCAAAGAUUUAUCGCCUUUGGAUGGGCCCGCGUUGGAUUAGCUAGUUGGUAGGGUAAAAGCCUACCAAGGCGACGAUCCAUAGCUGGUCUGAGAGGAUGAUCAGCCACACUGGGACUGAGACACGGCCCAGACUCCUACGGGAGGCAGCAGUGGGGAAUAUUGGACAAUGGGCGAAAGCCUGAUCCAGCAAUGCCGCGUGAGUGAUGAAGGCCUUAGGGUUGUAAAGCUCUUUUACCCGGGAUGAUAAUGACAGUACCGGGAGAAUAAGCUCCGGCUAACUCCGUG